UGGGCUGUGGCUCAGUGGUAGAGCGCUUGUCUAGCAUGUGUGAGGCCCUGGAUUCGAUCCUCAGCACCACAU
rnacentral:tRNA from 1 species